GUUAUUUGACUGGAGUGAGGUCUCAUGUCUGCUUAUGCGGUGGCUCGCUGCUCAGAACAGGAUGGCAGAGAUGAGCACCACCAUCAAAAACUCAAGGACCAGUGCUGUGGGUCCAGUCAUCUGUUUCAUGGAAUUCACCAGUCUGGUAUCUUCAAAAUCCAGAAGGAUGAUGGCAGAUGGCAGGAAGGUAAUGCAAACGUCAUCAGGUGUGACCCCACUGUAGCAGCUGUGAUGGAUGUUUUCUCUCACCAUAGCAAUAAAUAACACAACCUCGGUCACACUGUAUGCAUUGUUGGUCUGCAAAAUCCAUGUUUUGCAAAACUCUUCAGGAAGGUGGAUCUGUAAUAUUGGCAUUGACAUGAGAACAACAGCAGUAUUUAUUCACAAUCUCAAGCUCUCUGUCUUCCCGUCUCUCUCAUUAGCCAUCCAAGUAGUCCUGAGGAACCAAGCCCAUCAGAACAUUCUGCAACAUAAUACACAGCUCCAUUCUCCAUUCAAAUUUUGUUGUUGUUGUUGUUGUUGAUGAGACAACAUCUUACUCCAUCAGCCAGGCUGACGUACAGUGGGGCUAUCUGGGCUGACUGUAGUCUUGAGCUUCCAGGCUCAAGGCAUCCUCUCACCUCAGCCUCCUAAGUGGCUUGAACUACAGACACACAGCGACAUGCUGGGCUAGUUUUUGUAUAUUUUGUAGAGACGUGCUCUCACCAUGUUAUUCAGGCUGGACUCAAACUCCUGAGCGUAAGUGAUCCAAGCACCUUGGCCUCAAAGUGCUGAGAUUACAAGCCUGAGCCACUGCACCCAGCCCAAUCUCCAUUCUACUGAUAACAAUGUCAUUACCAGGUCUGAUGGACAGGAAAUGGUAAGGUUUCUGAAAACCUAAGGAUCACACAGCGAGUUCCAAAGGCUGAAAGUGCAUACCUGUCGACACUGAUACCAAUGACAUCCAAUGGUGAGAAUGACAUUCCUUGUAGUCCUAGCUCUGCUCAUAACAAAUCUAUACUGAAGUGUAAGAGUUUGAUGGUCAUGGGGAUUUUCCAUGUCUCUGCCUUUCAGCGAUGUGCCAUAUCUGUGAAGUGUUCAGAAAUGCAACAGCCUGAGGCAUGCUGGGCAUAUCCUCUAAUAAAAAGGAAAAUGCCAUUUUAUGGUCCUGUAUUUCUACAAGUUGGAACACAUGGGCCUGUGAUCCAGAUGGGGGAAAUGGGAAUAUUCCCACUCAUUCACCUUCAUCCACGAAGCCCAUUUGAAAGCUUUGGGCUUCCCAUCCUUGUAGAUUUUAGUGUUGUGGGCUGGGUGCAGUGGCUUUCACCUGUACUGCCAACACUUUGGGAGGCCUAGACAGGUGAAUCCACUGAGGCCAAAAGUUCGAGACCAGCCUGGCCAAGAUGGUGAAACCCCGUCCCUACUAAAAAUACAAAAAUUAGCAAGGUAUUGGGGCCAGCACCUGUAAUCCCAGCUGCUCGGGAGGCUGAGGCUGGAGAAUCGCUUGAACCCAAAAGGCAGAGACUGCAGUGACCCGAUCCUGCCUUUGCACUCCACCUGGGCAAGCAGAACAAAACUUCUGUCUUGAAAAAAAAAA
ensembl:lncRNA PCAT19 prostate cancer associated transcript 19